rnacentral:rRNA from 1 species
AAACUUAAAUGAAUUGACGGGGGCCCGCACAAGCAGCGGAGCGUGUGGUUUAAUUCGAGGCUACACGAAGAACCUUACCCAGGUUUGACAUAGGCGUAGUAGCGAAGCGAAAGCUGAGCGACCGUAAGGAGCGUCUACAGGUGCUGCAUGGCUGUCGUCAGCUCGUGUCGUGAGAUGUUCGGUUAAGUCCGAAAACGAGCGCAACCCCGGUGCCAGUUACAUGUGUCUGGCGCGACUGCCCGCGAGAAGCGGGAGGAAGGUGGGGAUGACGUCAAGUCAGCAUGGCCUUUAUAUCUGGGGCUACACACACGCUACAAUGGUCGGUACAGUGGGUUGCGAGACCGCGAGGUGGAGCCAAUCCCCAAAGCCGAUCUAAGUUCGGAUUGUAGGCUGCAACUCGCCUGCAUGAAGCCGGAGUUGCUAGUAACCGCGUAUCAGCCAUGGCGCGGUGAAUACGUUCCCGGGCCUUGUACACACCGCCCGUCACGUCAUGGGAGUUGGUCAUGCCUGAAGUCGGAGAGCGAACCGCAAGGACGCAACCGCCGAAGGCAGGGCGGUGACUGGGACGAAGUCGUAACAAGGUAGCUGUA